AUUUCCCUUUUCUUAUAAGGACACCAGUCAUCAGAUUUAAGGCCCACUCUCAUCCAGCAUGAUCUCAUCUUGAUUACAUCUGCAGACUCUAUUUGUAAAUAAGGUCACAUUCAUAGAAUCUGAAUGAACCACUAAGUGAGGUCUGUCUCCCUUGCCCAGAGGGAUUCUGCACAUGUUUCUGUUUUGAAAGGAGGAAGGAAGAGAAGGUCUGCUUUCAGCGCCCAAGUUUCACUUCCUUCCAUCCCCCU